AGUGAACGCUGGCGGUAGGCCUAACACAUGCAAGUCGAACGGCAGCACAGUAAGAGCUUGCUCUUACGGGUGGCGAGUGGCGGACGGGUGAGGAAUACAUCGGAAUCUACUUUUUCGUGGGGGAUAACGUAGGGAAACUUACGCUAAUACCGCAUACGACCUACGGGUGAAAGCAGGGGAUCUUCGGCCCUUGCGCGAUUGAAUGAGCCGAUGUCGGAUUAGCUAGUUGGCGGGGUAAAGGCCCACCAAGGCGACGAUCCGUAGCUGGUCUGAGAGGAUGAUCAGCCACACUUGAACUGAGACACGGUCCAGACUCCUACGGGAGGCAGCAGUGGGGAAUAUUGGACAAUGGGCGCAAGCCUGAUCCAGCCAUACCGCGUGGGUGAAGAAGGCCUUCGGGUUGUAAAGCCCUUUUGUUGGGAAAGAAAAGCAGCAGGUUAAUACCCCGCUGUUCUGACGGUACCCAAAGAAUAAGCACCGGCUAACUUCGUG
rnacentral:rRNA from 1 species